GUUGUAUUCUCCCACCGAUACAAAUAGUAAACAAUGGAGAUGGUUUCAUAUGCACUGACGACAAUACUGGGAAUAUAGAAAUUUGCAGCAAGUUGAUUUACCUAGGCGAGACUGGGGACAAGGCAAUUAUUCGUGAAUUUUUCGAAUUUGGCGUUGUUUCCUGGUUGGAUCCUGUGAGUGUUGCUUACUGCGGUGGUCACUUUGUGGAAACCUUGUCGAGCCUCCAGUUUGGAAAGUACUAAGCAUGAUGUGCUCGUAUUCGUAUCAUCUUUAUGUGUAUAUAUUCCAUUAUGUGUUAUGUUAUGUUAGGAAAAAAAUCAAAUUCUCAGCAUGAUAAGCUCAACACAGACUUUACUUUUUACUUAAAGAGUUGUUUAUGAAAUUAUCAUAUCCGAGUAGUUUUGACUUGGUACA